UACGAUGCAACGUUGCAUGUAACGUCUAUUCUAUAUAAUCUGCGCUUGAGUGUCGAUAUUUGAUAAUCGUCGUCGAUAUAAACGUGGUUUUCAGUGCUGAUAUGUACGUCGAAUCGAAAUAAUGUGAAUAAUGUGAAAUAAUCGUGGUGUGCCGGAAAGGCGGGAAGGGGCUAUUGCGUAAUGCGCAAAAUCCCGCCAUUUUAGUAACCCGAUCACGGUUUUGGAGGAAAUACUUCGCGAUGAUCGACAAGGAUCCGCGAGGAUAUUACACAAGCUUUAUUGGUGUCAGUUUCUUAUAACAAACUCUAUGGACAGCCACCUAUUGGAUCAGAUGACGAAUAAAUCCCAUAAAACGAUCGAAAGUGGAAAGAAGAGUAAGUCCCAACCAAGAAACUUUGUCGUAACUUUCGUCGUCCGGAUCGUUUUUAUCCGGACACUGGAUAUCCUGUAGCUGCCUUAUUCUUUCGAAGAGCUCCUGCUGGGCACAGAAGAAUGAGGAACAGAAAUAAACACGUUUAUAUAGUCCUCCCACGAGGAAACAUUGUCAUGAAUAGACUACAUGAAAGGGAAGGGAAAAUACACUAAUAAUUACGGUAAUAAAGGAGAACAGUGACAAUCGUCGGGACUUUCUAUACAUAUUUUUACAAUACUCUUAACUACACAGGCAUUAGAAAAACUGAAAUUAAAAGAAUAACACAAGUCAAAUAAAAGCGAAAAUAAUACAUGAAAAACUGUUUGCUAAUUAUAUAACAACGUUACAAUGUACAAUACAAAAAAUUUUAUACAAUGAAAAUUAUAGUUAAACGCAUAAUAAACUGAAAUGUAAUGAAGAUGAUUAAAGACAGAAUUUCAUGGUACAAUAUAUAAGUAUUUAUUAUAUUAAUAUGUACUUAUGCUAAGUAAUUAUUAAUUAUAGUAGCAUUUAAUUUUAUAAUUACAAUACUUUCGUUUAAAUAUUAUAAGAGAGAAAGAGAGAGAAAAAAGAAACGGUUUUAGACAUAUUAUAACUGUGUUUGAAAUAAUUUAAAUAUAUGUAUCUUAAAUGCAACAUUUCUAUGGAAGCUCAGAAAUAAAAAUAAAAUACAUAUAUGUAGAAGAGUUUGAAAAUUAUUUUAAAUGUAGUUAUUCUAUAUUAUAUGAAUUUGUAUACCUGGCUAAUUACCACUCUUCGUGUUUCG